GUGGGGAAUAUUGGACAAUGGGGGAAACCCUGAUCCAGCGAUGCCGCGUGAGUGAAGAAGGCCUUAGGGUUGUAAAACUCUUUCACCCGUGAAGAUGAUGACUGUAGCGGGAGAAGAAGCUCCGGCUAACUCCGUGCCAGCAGCCGCGGUAAUACGGAGGGGGCUAGCGUUGCUCGGAAUUACUGGGCGUAAAGCGCGCGUAGGCGGCGAACACAGUCAGACGUGAAAGCCCAGGGCUUAACCCUGGAAUAGCGUUUGAUACUGGUUUGCUAGAAUUCGAGAGAGGGUAGUGGAAUUUCCAGUGUAGAGGUGAAAUUCGUAGAUAUUGGAAAGAACACCAGUGGCGAAGGCGGCUACCUGGCUCGAUAUUGACGCUGAGGUGCGAAAGCGUGGGGAGCGAACAGGAUUAGAUACCCGGGUAGUCC
rnacentral:rRNA from 1 species